UACGUAGGGUGCGAGCGUUGUCCGGAAUUAUUGGGCGUAAAGAGCUCGUAGGCGGUCUGUCGCGUCUGCUGUGAAAUCCCGAGGCUCAACCUCGGGCUUGCAGUGGGUACGGGCAGGCUAGAGUGCGGUAGGGGAGAAUGGAACUCCUGGUGUAGCGGUGGAAUGCGCAGAUAUCAGGAAGAACACCGAUGGCGAAGGCAGUUCUCUGGGCCGAUAA
rnacentral:rRNA from 1 species